rnacentral:ncRNA from 2 species
UAUAGAUAUAGAGGAUGCGCAACCAAUCAGUAGCCGAUGGUGAAAGGUGGUUGUGCCGAAAUGCAGAUUUUCUGUGUUGGGGGUAAUACCUAAGAGGGUUAUCCCUGUCAAACCUUAAUGCCCAUUAAGGUGCGGAGCGCUUGUCUUAU